rnacentral:sRNA from 1 species
UCGCAUUUAUCUUUACAUUGCAUUCG